CGCAGAGCUGAGCUCCAAAGUCCAAAGCUCUGGCCUGCUGCCCUCCCAAAAAGCUCCAGCAACGCCGACAGCGGCCCCAAAGCAGCCGGGCCCCGCUCUCAGCUGAGCGACGCUACCCCAAACCCUUCGGAUGCGCCCGCGUUUCUCAGUCCCUGAACUCAAGGUCAUUGGAAAACAAAAAGCAGCGGCUCACAGCCCGCGAGUCCUAGCGGAGAGGUGAUUCAUCCCGAGGGGAGAUCCCUCUUACCCUCCCCUCCAGCAUCUAUAAACGCCGUCAGUUAUCCAAACCCCACCAGGACCCAACUCAAUCCCUCGGCGGGCUUCUUUAGGCUCACACCUCGCUUUCCCUGCCCCCUUUACCUUGACUCUCCAAGAGGCCACGGCUCAAACUCAAAGCUACACGGCCGGAUUUCUAACGAACCCAGGGAAACGAGAGGAAGAGAGCUCGUUAGCGAAAAGGCGGCUCUGCUACAGCUGGAGGAGUUGCCAGGAGCAGCAGCAGCAGCAGCUCCCCAGGACAGACGGCCCCAAAGCCGCUUGCACCAGGACAGGCAGGACCCGAACCCAUUGCAGGUGGGCAGCAGCAGGGGGGGGGCUUUGAGAAGCCCACCCCGCAGUGCUCCAGGCUCCAUCCUGCAGCUGACGUGGUGGGGAGAAGGGGAAGAUGCGAGAGCUGCCCGGUGUCUGAGCCACUUGGCCCCAGGAAGGAGUUUAAUGGGAUCAGGGGGAGCCAAGGCCGGGCCCCUGCACGGCUGCCGUGGGACGCCCUGAGGUCCAGCGCCGCUGGACACAGGGGAAGCAGCGCUCCCGACACCAGGAGGCCGUGAAAUAAAAUAUUUCAGGAGUUAAACAUUCAUCCCUCUGUGACUCACAUCCCCAGCUAAACGUCCUGAAGCCUAUUAAUAAACUUUAAUGAAUAAACUCUCGUUGAGAACUUCGUUUUACAGCUCCGAGAUACACCCGGCUGCUCAACAGAAGGAAAUCGCUACUCCCCUGUUCUGUGUUAACACGGCAAAAAGCCUCUUAGCUCAGUUAUCUGCAAGAUUGAGGACUUGCCCAUAUACCUCUCGAUUUAUAAAGGACAGACCAACCGUUAGCUUUAACGAUUUGUCUUCAUCUCGUAACCCAUUAAUUUAUUUAGCCGUGGUCAAAGUUUUUACAGGAGAUAAUUAAUUGUUGCCUCUGCGUCUGUCCAGGCUCUUUUAAUUAAACAAAAAAUAAUCGGUAUCCAUCGCUACCAUCUGUACAACAGGGUUUUAUCUUCUUUUCUCAGAUGCUGUCCUCAUGGGGAUCUGAAGCUCCACGCAAAAAUCCGUCAGGCUUCAGAUGCCCUUGACAUGUAAGUUUUGCUUGCUGACAGCGAGGAAAGUGGGGCACUGGAAGGCUUGAUUUUUUUCAGAGCUGGUGAUAGACAUAACAGUGGCUGAAGUCAAGGAGAGCCUGGGUACUUACUCGCUCUGAAUUGCAGAUCCGCAGAGUUUAAGGAACUCGCUGUGGUCACAAAGGGAACUGGAGGCAUGUUGGGGAAUGUAAACACAGGCUUUCUCAUCCCAGCACCCGAUGUUGUUCCAUAUAAACACCACCACGGUGAGCGUCCUCAUGAAAUAGGGUGGCUGGAUUUUCAGUCUCAAGAAACAGACAGGGAGGAAGGAAUAAAACUGCCUGAGAGUUGGACUUGGCCUGCUUAUUACACGAGGGAAAAUAAUUUAAGUCAGACAGAAGGCAUUACUUAAUGCUGUCAAUAAGUACACGUCUCCUGUCAUCAAUGUAUGCUGCACAUAUGCAUGCAAACACACACAAAAAAAAAUAGUGUAAAAAAUGUAGAAAAUUCAUGAUAAAGUUAAGUUUUCCACACCGUGACAUAGUGAGGCAGUCACAGUGCACAUGAACACAGGUUUAUAGGUGUAGACCUUGCUCUGUGAGAGAGAAGCAACACUGGUUUGUCUUGCAGACAUCAGAUAUGGAGUGCUGGAGCUGGACCAGAUUUUUUUUUCAGGCAGAAAUGGUUCCACUAAAGCAGCUGAAAUAAAAUUUAGUGGCAUGCAUUCUUUACUUUCCACUUAACUCUGUUGUUUAUUGGAGCAGACCAGAAAAAAAGAAAAUCAUUUGACAGCCUGACCUGCAUCCACUUUGCCCAGCCAAUUGUGAGUUGGAAGCGGGGAUGGGAGAACAGCAGCAAAGUAUAAACCAAGAGGUAGUUGUGCCGAGUUCAUCUUUUUCAAAUAAAUACACAGAGGAUGAGAAAGAAACAGCUGUGUCCAAUAUAGAAAUAGACUAUACAUGUAUAAAAAUACUCUUGUAGCCAGCGUGGACUGCAGCCAGUAUGUACAGCAAGGUUUGCAUUCCUGGCUUCUUUGAGCAAAUCUACAGAAAACAGUUCCCUUCUCUCGUGUGUCUGCCUGGGUUUCCCUCCCUGAGCAACGUAAAAGAUGUUUACCUUUUGAUGAUUAAUGUCCUCUGGAAAAUAUUCAGACGCUCUGGUCAAAGCCUUGCUGCAGAUUCAAUGUGAGGGUUGAAUUCUGCAUGACUUGGAUGCAAACACAGCUCUGGGCAUUUGCUGGGUACUGCAUUAGCGUGUGCUGGGUUGUGAAAUCGUGUGCUUCUGUGGCCUGGAGGAGCCUGGGUCAGUGCAGGUGCCCAGCUACACGGCUGCUCGAAGGAAAGAGGUGCAAAGUAUUUCCAGGGACACACUUGUCUUUCCAAGGAAGACAAUUAUGAAGUUAAAUGCGGAGGAGCUGUAUCCACAGUAUAUGAUUUUGCUCUCCAGGAUACAAUAGGAUAAGCUCUGGUGUAUUGUAACUUACGCAAUUUGCUUGAUUGGACAUUUUUAAAGCUCCAGGUGCCCAUUCACGCAGCAGUUUUGCUGUCCCUUUGCAGGCCAAGCAGCUCAAGCCUCGUUACGCUCCCUCCCAGUGUGAGGGUGGUGCAAUUUCCAAGACUCUCAAGCGGGCAUCUUGGCUGGGCCGUAAAAAGCUGCAGGUAAAGGGACUCCUCUCAUGGCACACGAGCUAGGAAUAGCUGAAAAAAAGCACCAAGGCAGCAGCCCGCAGGCCCUGAUGGGGAUAUUUGCCACUAUCAGAGCACUGCAGAGACGAUUCAUUAACUCGGUACGCAGAUUUAAUUGAAUGUCUCCAAGUCUUUGUGUCCCGAUCAGGAGGAAGCAGGAAUCUCCCCUUUAUCAAGAAUUUACACCAACUUCAGUCAUUUCCAGAGCACCAGCCUGUUCCAUAGGUUGAAAGGCCUCUGUCCAGCCAGCGUUAUUCAGCCAGGCGAGUGCAAGCACGCUCCCAAAGUAGCAAGAAGUUAAUUUGAUGCUGCAUCCCCCACUGGCAAAGGUACAAUGGUGAGAUACGAGACGGUUCGUGCCAGCCCACCACGGCUGUUGAUUGAUCUAGGCGUGAGGAGGUGGACGAAUCUGACCCAGUUUUAAGGGAACACUGUUCCGGUUUUAGCUUCUCAGAACUGUUUCUGAAAGAAAACCAGAGCCAGUGUUUGCUCCUGAAGCAGCGUCUAGUCGCCUGCACACUCCCAGCACCAAUCCUGCUGCAGCUGAGACACAAAUUAGCUGCCAUAGUCUAGGAUCAGGCUUCUCACCCAGUUAUGACUAAGCUCUUUCAAAAGGAGAAACAGUUCAGGAUUUCUUGCUUAAUUGGUAAAACAGAUUAAUUUGACUAUUGAGAACAUCACCAAGCGGAAGAGAGGAAUUGACACACCUAGCUGGUUCCUGCUCAGGCUCGUGAUUCGCGUUAAUUGAUGGCUCACGUUUGUCGUUGAUCAUUUCCACCAGCAACACGGCGUGCUCCCUCUUCCCGCCCAGGUCUGCCAGAGGACGAACGUCGGCGUUUCCUGCAGCUUUCCCCAGGCACCAUCACUGCUGGAAGCUGAUGCUGUUUUAAAAGAGGAAUCGUCGCUGAUUGAAACCAGCAAGUCAAACCUUCAAAGCUCUUGGGUUUGAGCUGCCACGUGUCCUUGCCAAGAACCCACGUCCUUUCCCACACCAAGUGCCCCCAAGGAUCAGGGGCUGCAUCUUUAACAAAAAGCUCCAUUUCCCCUGACUUUCAGUCAUUAAAUCAGUUCAAAACUCGC